CUACGGGGUGCUCCAGUAAGGAAUAUUGCGCAAUGGAGGCAACUCUGACGCAGCCAUGCCGCGUGCAGGAAGAAGGCCUUAUGGGUCGUAAACUGCUUUUAUUUAGGAAUAAACCCCCGAACGUGUUCGGGGCUGAAGGUACUAAACGAAUAAGCACCGGCUAACUCCGUGCCAGCAGCCGCGGUAAUACGGAGGGUGCAAGCGUUAUCCGGAUUUAUUGGGUUUAAAGGGUGCGCAGGCGGGCUAUUAAGUCAGUGGUGAAAUCCCGGGGCUCAACUCCGGAACUGCCAUUGAUACUGAUAGUCUUGAGUUUGGUUGAAGUGGGCGGAAUGUAGCAUGUAGCGGUGAAAUGCAUAGAUAUGCUACAGAACACCAAUCGCGAAGGCAGCUCACUAAGCCAAAACUGACGCUCAUGCACGAAAGCGUGGGGAUCAAACAGGAUUAGAUACCCUUUAGUC
rnacentral:rRNA from 1 species